AGCAAGUGUGGCUGAGCUCCGGGGUGUGUGGACGCCGCUUUGUUGCCUGAGAUGAAGUUGGAGCCCUUGUUUUUGACAUUGGAUCCUAUACUGUGAGAGCUGGUUAUGCUGGUGAGGACUGCCCCAAGGUGGAUUUUCCUACAGCUAUUGGUAUGGUGGUAGAAAGAGACGACGGAAGCACAUUAAUGGAAAUAGAUGGCGAUAAAGGCAAACAAGGCGGUCCCACCUACUACAUAGAUACUAAUGCUCUGCGUGUUCCGAGGGAGAAUAUGGAGGCCAUUUCACCUCUAAAAAAUGGGAUGGUUGAAGACUGGGAUAGUUUCCAGGCUAUUUUGGAUCAUACCUACAAAAUGCAUGUGAAAUCAGAAGCCAGUCUCCAUCCUGUUCUCAUGUCAGAGGCACCGUGGAAUACUAGAGCAAAGAGAGAGAAACUGACAGAGUUAAUGUUUGAACACUACAACAUCCCUGCAUUCUUCCUUUGCAAAACUGCAGUUUUGACAGCGUAUCCUUGAAAGAGUAAUACUUUUCCUCUUGAACUUUAUUGAUCAUCUACUUCACUAAACAGGAUAACCUUCAGGGAAAAGGCAGUUUUGGUGCACCAUUAUGUGUCUACUGUGUUAAAA
rnacentral:sRNA from 1 species